GACGAACCGUGCGAACGUUGUUCGGAAUCACUGGGCUUAAAGGGCGCGUAGGCGGGCCUCCCAGUCCGGGGUGAAAGCUUUCGGCUUAACCGGAAAAGUGCCUUGGAUGCUGGAGGUCUGGAGGGAGGUAGGGGCAGUCGGAACUUCCGGUGGAGCGGUGAAAUGCGUUGAUAUCGGAAGGAACGCCGGUGGCGAAAGCGGACUGCUGGACCUUUUCUGACGCUGAGGCGCGAAAGCCAGGGGAGCGAACGGG
rnacentral:rRNA from 1 species